rnacentral:rRNA from 1 species
GACGGGGGCCCGCACAAGCGGUGGAGCAUGUGGUUUAAUUCGACGCAACGCGAAGAACCUUACCAGGGCUUGACAUCUUCUGACCGCUUUAAGGGAAACUUAAGCUUUCCGGAAGGUUUACUUUCUGGACAGAAAGACAGGUGGUGCAUGGUUGUCGUCAGCUCGUGUCGUGAGAUGUUGGGUUAAGUCCCGCAACGAGCGCAACCCCUACGGUUAGUUGCUAACGGGUGAGGCCGAGCACUUUAGCCGAACUGCCGUUGACAAAACGGAGGAAGGCGGGGAUGACGUCAAAUCAUCAUGCCCUUUAUGUCCUGGGCUACACACGUGCUACAAUGGCCUGUACAAAGGGCAGCAAAGGGGCGACCCGGAGCAAAUCCCAAAAAACAGGUCUCAGUUCGGAUUGCAGGCUGCAACUCGCCUGCAUGAAGGCGGAAUCGCUAGUAAUCGCAGGUCAGCAUACUGCGGUGAAUACGUUCCCGGGCCUU